rnacentral:misc_RNA from 1 species
CCGCGCAGCAGCAACGCGCAUUUCGCUUGUCGUUUCUUCAUCUUUCCGCCGAGAAAGAAAAAUAUCUCCCCAAGAGAAAGACGGCAUAUGGACUUGGUGCGGGCAUUAUUGCUUCGACGACAGUGUCUCCGUGAGACCCAAACCCCCUCCCUCCCCCUCUGAAUUCGUUCCCCGCCAUCCAUACGACUCCUAUCCAAACUCAUUUCUUUUCGAUCUUCACAGACGCGUAACGUAACUCUCUCUUUUCCUUUUUGUUUUCCCAUAGCUGUGCACCGAAAGGCACAUCUGCACAGCGACGCGCAGCGCUCUGCUCGCCGGCUUAGGGAUCGCGCCAGUCGGAGGCCUCUUCCGAGUGCCCCCCUGCCGCGCUCGUUGCGUUGGGGGGGGGGAUAUUGGUUUUCCUCUGCAGCUCUUUGCCGUCUUGUCAUUUCCUUUGUGGACGAGCAUUGCCCCCUCCCCCCCACUCCCCCUCCCCGGAAGACCCGCCCUCUUCGUCGCGGAAUGUUAGGCGGGCCAACUCGCCGUCUUCAUGUGCUGUGGGGUCAGACCCUCGCCAGCUAUGUACCGCCACACAGCCCCUCCGGCCUUGUGCGUGGCCAUCUGCUCCGCCGCUACCCCGUCUCCGGCGUUGUCACCGCUUCAUCGCCGGCGCGAAGGAGCGACGCAGAGGUCGAGGCACACGUGACGGCUGCGCAGUGGCUGCCCGCACGUACCCCUGCCGAGGUGGUGCUCAACGCCAAUGAGUUUUCGACGUUUCAUGCCGUUCCUACGGCGAGUCCGGAGGACGUGCGGUUGUGCACGCGUUACCUCCUAGCCACUUCCAACACCUCCGCAGCUUCCGUUGGGAUGGAAAACCCAAAGUUGCAGGAAAGAAACCUGCCCACCGUCACAUUCAUGAGCGAUUUGCGGGACACCGCGAACAGCUCCUAUGAGGCACCCUCUGGCAGAGUAGACACCGCCUCUCUCCCCUUCCCCUCCAUCAUCACCAAUCUGAAUGCUCUUCGCCACGUUCUCGGCGAGCAUCGGUGCCUUCUCGCUGGGUCUGAGGCUCUGCAGACGGGUGUUCCCAUCUCGUGCAUCUUGGCGGAGCACGAGGAGGCGCAGAUGUAUCUGACAUGGAGCCUUGGCUCGCACCAAUCGGGCUCAUGGGCUCAAGGGAUGCUGCCCAAGCCAUCUAAUCUCGCGUGUGAUGAUGAUCACGAUGGCAGCGCUGGUGUUGCAGCUGGAUCGAGGGAGGCGGCGGCGCCGUUGACUGUCGGAUGCGUGUUCGCGAUGGAGGAGGCAUCGGGAGGUGCUGAAAGUACCGCCACGCCCCAUCAACACCUCGACCCGAGGGAGAGGGCGAGACGGGAGCGCCUGGCACGACUGCGCCGGCGCUUUCAAAGCGAGGUGGCACACCUUCACGGCCAUGGGCAGCGGGGCGCUUUUGUGGAGGCCUUUCGGGGACCGAUGCCCAUCAGCGCGGAAGGCGCACAAGGCAAGACGUGCCUGCCUAUGGCGGAGCCCCGCGUUCCUUUGCUGACGGUGGCGACGUCAGCAGGUAGCGGCCUCGCCGCUGCCAUAAAGGCGGCAGCUGUAGCAUGGGCGUGUUGCGCUUGUGAGGUCGGGGGCAGUAGCGCCAGCUCGUUGCGUUGCUGCGUGUAUGCGAUGGACAUCUUGUGGCGCCCGGCACCCGCGACGGCGCUUGUCGCUACAUGGUGGGCCGCACUUCUGCAUCAGCACCAAUCCUCAAGCAGCACUGACAACUCUGCUGAAAACUCGCAUUCAUCGCCUUCCGAUGCGGCAGCUCAACACAGCUUGGAAAGGCACCCGCCCACUUUCACAGGCCCGGCUAGUGAGCGGAGCGAGGGGCACCAUAACGCUUCAGUGAGGCAGGUCGAAGAAAGUAGUGCUGUCAUUGCGUCCUCGCUUUCGCCAUGCACGCACAAUUUCCAUGUCCUGAUCACCGGUGGCGACACGGCCGAUCAUUUUCUCCUGCCUUUGAUGGCUGGUGUGGAUGACAGCAUUAUUAGGACACACACUAAGAAUGCCCAUCCGAGCGAGCGCAUCGACGUCACUGCACAGAACGGCGAUCGUAGCGGCGGUAACUUAGCAAGACAACGUGGUGGCGAUGCGGCUUGUGCGUCUUCUUCAGCACCGUCGGUACAUCGCCGAAGAACUGAAACGCUUGCCAUGGUGCUGUGCUAUGGCUGUCCCGCGGCUCAAGUAGCACAUCUGCACGCGAUUCGCCAUUCGUAUCUCGUCCAGCAAGACAUGCCCGAUACCUCGGCAACUGUCGAGUCUCGAGGUGCGCUCAUCGGACAGGGUGAUGCGAACGUGACCUCUGAUGGAGAAAGUACCGCAGCGACCUCUGGCCAGAGCGACAGUUUGCCGUCGAUGAGGCAGGUCGAUUGUGCCACCACUGGGGUUGUGGAGCUGUGCACCGAGACUCCGGCGGUUUCCAUGGUUACAGUAUUGCCUCACGUGGCGAGCGCUGCUACAUCCUCUUCAGUGGGGGCUUCAAGUCCGUUAUCGCUCUCAUAUCAUCUACGUGGCUCAGGCCCUUCCUUGUCGCCCCCCUCUGGGGCACAGCCGGUGCUGUCGAAUGCCACAGCAGCAGCACAACCGAUGACUCUCAAAGAGGUGGCAGCGUGUGUCUUCGAAUCCAGCUUACUGGAGCGGCCGCUCCGUCACGCAGACCUUCGCCCCCGUCGCCGGGGGGCGUGUGCUGGCGCUUCGCGGGAGUCACCACGCGAGCCGCACGCGGUGGUUGCGCCAGCAGCGCUGCAGGGGGGCGCGUCUUUGCAGCAGGGGUGGUGCUCUCUCUGCUUUGCACCGCAAACGUAUGCCCCAGCGCUCUUGAGCACACUGGCGGAGAGCCACUUUGGACAGCCGCUACGCUCCGGUCACAGCUUCGACGCGUUGUGCCGAAGAGGGCCGGCUCCGUCGCCGACGCAUGUGCAUAUGGCACAAGAGGUGCUGCGAUGCGCCACCAGAGGUGGGUGUGGGCACAGACAAAGCCCAGAAGGCGGACAUCACAUACGCAAACACGCGGACGCGGGCUCGUCUCCUUCACGGGCACCCGCAUCCACAGCGUUCACGCUGCCGCGAACGUGUGCGAACGAAGGGACUCUGAAGUGCGGUGUGCUGCGUGAAGUGCAAUGGAAGCACGUGUGUGGCGGCUUCCCACUUCCUCUGACCGCCGUAAGGGGCCGCAGCUCCCCGUACUUUGUUCCAUGCCUGCUGUUUACCGACCUGGCCGAGGUGGCGUCGACGAUCUUCACGAAGGGGCAUGAAGGGCGACUGCACCACGCAGGUAUCGACACAAUGGAACCCAGUUGGCCUGCUGCAUUGGCCUACCCGGAUGGGCAUGAUGGUUUGCCACGAGAGGCACUCGGCGCAGGACUUGGCGCCUCGCCGCAAGCGACUCUACAAUACUCUGCGAGUGAAAAGUCCAGGCAGACACAGGCACAGGUGGCAUGCGCCGUAGCGGCAGUGGAGGACAGCGUCUUCGAGCUGGGACGCACGCAUGAUACGGAGAUGCUGGGCUACCGCGGCGUGGUCGCUGGCAACUAUCUAUUUAUAUGCUGCUACCCGGAUGCCUGGCAAGACGCGGUGAAAGAUGCGUUGAUGCGGAGGUAGUGCUGCGUUUUUUUUCUUUGCAUCUGCUUUCCUGACCGCGUGAGGAUGAGGUAAGCUGAGCGCUAGUGGACGUUGCUGUUGCCUCGUUACGCCUUAAGCGCUCGGAUCGCAGCGACUGUGCUACAAACCCUUCUCUUGUUGUUUUGAUGCUCCGGCGAGUCCUCUGCUCUGUUACUUGGCCAGCUACGGUGGUGCAUCAUGUUCGCGCUGGCCAUUUGCUAUUGCGCGUAUGCGGCCUACCCGGCACCCGCUCUAUCUCUCUUAGCAAC